rnacentral:piRNA from 1 species
AGAGCAACUUCAAAGGGAACUGAAGGCCUC